rnacentral:rRNA from 1 species
AGGAUCAUUACUGAAGGAAAAGAGUGGCAAGACUGUCGCUGGCUYGAAAGAGCAUGUGCACGUCUUCUGCUGCUUGAUUCAUUCUCUUUCCACCUGUGCACUUUUUGUAGACACUUGGGAAUUCAAAAAAGUUCUCUGGGUGUCUAUGUACUUUUUUGAUACACGCAUUUGAAUGUCUAUAGAAUGAGUUUGUAGGCUGUUUUUUUGAUGGCCUUUAAAUGAUAAAGUACAACUUUUCAACAACGGAUCUCUUGGCUCUCGCAUCGAUGAAGAACGCAGCGAAAUGCGAUAAGUAAUGUGAAUUGCAGAAUUCAGUGAAUCAUCGAAUCUUUGAACGCAUCUUGCGCUCCUUGGUAUUCCGAGGAGCAUGCCUGUUUGAGUGUCAUUAAGUAUCUCAAAAAAAUAUUAUGCCUUGGCAUAGGUUUUUUGGACAUUGGGAGUUGCCGGCUGCUAGCAGUGGGCUCUUCUGAAAAGCAUUAGUUGAGGAGCUUUGCACUCUAUUGGUGUGAUAGACUAUCUAUGCCAUGAGAUGCUUUAUGGGAACCUCUGCUGUCUAACUGUCUUUUAUCGGACAAUGUGAUGAACUUGACCUCAAAUCAGGUAGGACUACCCGCUGAACUUAAGCAUAUCAAUAAGCGGAGGAAAAGAAACUAACAAGGAUUCCCUUAGUAACUGCGAGUGAAGAGGGAAAAGCUCAAAUUUAAAAUCUGGCAGCAUUUUGCUGUCCGAGUUGUAACCUAGAGAAGUGUAACCUGUGCUGGACCGUGUAUAAGUUUCCUGGAAUGGAGCAUCACAGAGGGUGAGAAUCCCGUCUUUGACAUGGACUACCAGUGCAUUGUGGUUGUGCUCUCAACGAGUCGAGUUGUUUGGGAAUGCAGCUCUAAAUGGGUGGUAAAUUCCAUCUAAAGCUAAAUAUUGGCGAGAGACCGAUAGCGAACAAGUACCGUGAGGGAAAGAUGAAAAGAACUUUGGAAAGAGAGUUAAACAGUAUGUGAAAUUGUUGAAAGGGAAACGUUUGAAGUCAGUCGCGUUAGCUGGGGAUCAGCCUGACAUUGUUGGGUGCACUUCCUGGUUGACGGGCCAACAUCAGUUUUGACUGCCAGAAAAAGGCCAAGGGAAUGUGGCACCUUUGGGUGUGUUAUAGCCUUUGGUCAUAUAUGGUGGUUGGGACUGAGGAACGCAGUGUGCCGAAAGGCCGGGUUCGACCACGU